rnacentral:rRNA from 1 species
GGCGGCGUGGAUAAGACAUGCAAGUCGAACGCGAUUUAUCAGGUUAGCAAUAACUUGGUAAAUUGAGUGGCGAAAGGGUGCGUAACACGUGGGAAUUUACCAAGAAGUGGGGAAUAGCUCGACGAAAGUCGAAUUAAUACCGCAUACGAUCGCAAGAUCAAAGCCGGGGACCGCAAGGCCUGGCGCUUUUUGAGAAGCCCGCGGCCCAUCAGCUAGUUGGCGGGGUAACGGCCCACCAAGGCUAUGACGGGUAGCUGGUCUGAGAGGACGACCAGCCACACUGGAACUGAGACACGGUCCAGACACCUACGGGUGGCAGCAGUCGAGAAUUUUUCACAAUGGACGAAAGUCUGAUGGAGCGACGCCGCGUGGAGGAUGAAGGUUUUCGGAUUGUAAACUCCUGUCACUGCAGAACAAGGAUGUGUGUAUGAACAGUACAUGCAUUUGAUGGUAUGCGGAGAGGAAGGGACGGCUAACUCUGUGCCAGCAGCCGCGGUAAGACAGA